rnacentral:rRNA from 1 species
AUGAACAUUGCCCUCCUCUCCCGCUGGCUCUUGCGCAUCUCACAAGGGCAUGGCGGUUUGUGGUUAGACAUCAUCCGGAAUAAAUACUUGCGUGGCCAACCUCUGGCUUUCUGCCAGCGUUCGGGUGGAUCCCAGUUCUCGCAAUCGGUCAUCCAACUGUUCCCCGUCCUCCGCAUUGGGACCUCCAUCUCGGUCGGAUCGAGAGCAGCAACCUUGUUCUGGUUUGACCGAUGGGCGGAUGACGCUCCUUUCGCGGCCCGCUUCCCCGACCUCUUCUCCAUCGCUGUCGUCCCUACAAUCUCAGUUCAACAGGCCCUUAUUGACUUAGGGCGCCUCGCGUUCCGGAGGCCAUUUGGGCCUUCGGAAGUAGCCGCCUGGCAUGAACUUCUUGAUUGUAUUGCUCUCCAUGAGCCGACUGUCGAUGCUGGCCCGGAUGAGGUUCGGUGGCACCUUGAGGCCUCAGGUCAAUUCUCCACCAAGUCCCACUACGCGGCUAUCGCCCCAUCCUCCGCCCCGCUGCACCUCCAUGCGAUAUGGUCCAUUUGCGUGCCCCUUAUAAUCCGUAUUUUCAUGUGGCAAUGGAUCCGUGGCCGACCGCCGUCUGGAGUUGAGGUCCGCAAGCGCAAUGGCCCGGGCUCUGGCCUCUGCCCCCUUUGUGAUACCCCUGAAGACUCGAACCACAUAUUCUUCUCUUGCGUGUUGGCUUAG